rnacentral:ncRNA from 1 species
ACCGCAGGCCCGGGAGAGCCCGGCAUCGCCGCCAUGGCGGGGCCGGCGCCGAAGGAGCAACCGCCCCGGAAUCUCUCAGGCACCCGGACCGGGCCUGCGCA